rnacentral:rRNA from 1 species
UGCCAGCCGCCGCGGUAAUACGGAGAGGGCAAGCGUUGUUCGGAAUCACUGGGCAUAAAGCGCACGUAGGCGGAUUGGAUAGUCGGUUGUGAAAGCCCGGGGCUCAACCCCGGAAUGGCUUCCGAAACUGCCAGUCUGGAGGACAAGAGGGGAGAGUGGAACUUCUGGUGGAGCGGUGAAAUGCGUAGAUAUCAGAAGGAACACCGGUGGCGAAAGCGACUCUCUGGCUUGUUUCUGACGCUGAGGUGCGAAAGCUAGGGUAGCGAACGGGAUUAGAUA